UGUAGAUCAAUCUGCGGAAGUAAUAGUUUCUGUUUGGACACGAAGCUUGGUAACUCAAAUCACCGGAAUGGAUAGGGGUAUCUGAUUCUGAAUUUGGGAAGUUAUAUCUCAAAGCUAAAUAUCAAAGGAAGUCCCCCACAAUGCUGAUACAACCACAAAUAUGACAUGGUCCUCUUCCCAAUCUAUGAAGCAAAUGAAACAGAACCGGAUGCAGCAGGGCAUUGGUUUA